GAGUUUGAUCUUGGCUCAGAUUGAACGCUGGCGGCAUGCCUUACACAUGCAAGUCGAACGGCAGCAUGAUCUAGCUUGCUAGAUUGAUGGCGAGUGGCGAACGGGUGAGUAAUACAUCGGAACGUGCCCUGUAGUGGGGAUAACUAGUCGAAAGAUUAGCUAAUACCGCAUACGACCUGAGGGUGAAAGUGGGGGACCGCAAGGCCUCAUGCUAUAGGAGCGGCCGAUGUCUGAUUAGCUAGUUGGUGGGGUAAAGGCCCACCAAGGCGACGAUCAGUAGCUGGUCUGAGAGGACGAUCAGCCACACUGGGACUGAGACACGGCCCAGACUCCUACGGGAGGCAGCAGUGGGGAAUUUUGGACAAUGGGCGAAAGCCUGAUCCAGCAAUGCCGCGUGUGUGAAGAAGGCC
rnacentral:rRNA from 1 species